AACGAACGCUGGCGGCAGGCUUAACACAUGCAAGUCGAACGCCUAUAGCAAUAUAGGAGUGGCGCACGGGUGAGUAAUACUUGGGAACGUGCCUUAGAGUCUGGGAUAACUGCGGGAAACUGCAGCUAAUACCGCAUACGUACUGAGGUAGAAAGUGGGGGACCUUCGGGCCUCACGCUAUUCGAGCGGCCGACGUCUGAUUAGCUAGUUGGUGGGGUAAAGGCCUACCAAGGCGACGAUCCAUAGCUGGUCUGAGAGGAUGAUCAGCCACACUGGGACUGAGACACGGCCCAAACUCCUACGGGAGGCAGCAGUGGGGAAUAUUGGACAAUGGGGGCAACCCUGAUCCAGCCAUGCCGCGUGAGUGAUGAAGGCCUUAGGGUUGUAAAGCUCUUUCACCGGUGAAGAUAAUGACGGUAACCGGAGAAGAAGCCCCGGCUAACUUCGUGCCAGCCGCCGCAGUAA
rnacentral:rRNA from 1 species